rnacentral:rRNA from 1 species
AACGAACGCUGGCGGCGUGUUUAAGACAUGCAAGUCGCACGGGAUCAUUUUGGUAGCAAUACUCGGAUGGUCCAGUGGCGCACGGGUGAGUAACACGUGAAUGACAUGCCCUUCAGUGGGGGAUAGCCCAGGGAAACUUGGAUUAAUACCCCAUGGUCUCGCGAGAGUAAAGGUGGCGCAAGCUGCCGCUGGAGGAUUGGUUCGCGUUCUAUCAGCUGGUUGGCGGGGUAACGGCCCACCAAGGCUACGACGGAUACCUGGUCUGAGAGGACGAUCAGGCACACUGGAACUGAGACACGGUCCAGACACCUACGGGUGGCAGCAGUCGAGAAUAAUUCACAAUGGGGGCAACCCUGAUGGUGCAACGCCGCGUGGAGGAUGAAGGUCUUCGGAUUGUAAACUCCUGUCAUCCGGGAGCAAGACCUGGCGGUCAAUAGCCGGCAGGGUUGAUAGUACCGGAAGAGGAAGGGACGGCUAACUUCGUGCCAGCCGCCGCCGUAACAC